rnacentral:rRNA from 1 species
CCAGACUCCUACGGGAGGCAGCAGUGGGGGAUAUUGCACAAUGGGGGAAACCCUGAUGCAGCGACGCCGCGUGGGCGAAGAAGUAUUUCGGUAUGUAAAGCCCUAUCAGCAGGGAAGAAGAAAUGACGGUACCUGAGUAAGAAGCACCGGCUAAAUGCGUGCCAGCAGCCGCGGUAAUACGUAUGGUGCAAGCGUUAUCCGGAUUUACUGGGUGUAAAGGGAGCGCAGGCGGCACGGCAAGCCUGAUGUGAAAGCCCGCGGCCCAACCGCGGGACUGCAUUGGGAACUACCGGGCUGGAGUGCCGGAGAGGUAGGCGGAAUUCCUAGUGUAGCGGUGAAAUGCGUAGAUAUCAGGAGGAACACCGGUGGCGAAGGCGGCCUGCUGGACCGCGACUGACGUUGAGGCCCGAAAGCGUGGGGAGCAAACAGGAUUAGAUACCCGUGUAAU